rnacentral:rRNA from 16 species
AUUACGAAGAACAUCAGUGGCGAAGGCGGCUUACUGGUCUACAACUGACGCUGAGGCACGAAAGCGUGGGGAGCGAACAGGAUUAGAUACCCUGGUAGUCCACGCCGUAAACGAUGUCAACUAGCCGUUGGGGAUCUUGAAUCCUUAGUGGCGCAGCUAACGCACUAAGUUGACCGCCUGGGGAGUACGGCCGCAAGGUUAAAACUCAAAUGAAUUGACGGGGGCCCGCACAAGCGGUGGAGCAUGUGGUUUAAUUCGACGCAACGCGAAGAACCUUACCUGGCCUUGACAUGCAGAGAACUUUCCAGAGAUGGAUUGGUGCCUUCGGGAACUCUGACACAGGUGCUGCAUGGCCGUCGUCAGCUCGUGUCGUGAGAUGUUGGGUUAAGUCCCGUAACGAGCGCAACCCCUAUCCCUAGUUGCUAGCAGUUCGGCUGAGAACUCUAGGGAGACUGCCGGUGACAAACCGGAGGAAGGUGGGGAUGACGUCAGGUCAUCAUGGC